UUGUUUUUCAUUGAAUUAUAAUUCUAUUCUAAAUAUUUUAAAAUAUUUUUUACAUUAUUAAAUUUAAUAAAAUAUGAUUAUAUCCGCUGCAUCGCGCGGAUUCCUAUACUAGUGAAGCAUUAUCUUUUAUAAAAGGGAUAAUUUGCCUAUAUACCUCUCAUACGUUUGAAAAUAUCCGAUUUAACCCUUUUUUUUCUUUCUAAAAUACCCCUUAUAUGUUCCAACGUUAUUGUAAAAUACCUCCGCAGUUAUUUCCUGUUAAGUUAACUUGAGUUAAACGUGAGUUAAAUAUCUAUCACAGUUAAAAAAAAUUAAAAUACCAAUCUUGCCCUUAACUUAAGGGCAAAUAAGAAAUAUUGGUGACGGUAGAAGAGUACAUUGGAAAAGACUAAAAGUCAAAAUACUUUUUGUGCCCCUGACUUGAAAAGACCAAAAGUCAAAAUACUUUUUGUGCCCCUGACUUUAAGGGCAAAUAAGAAAGUCAGUGACGCUGAAAGGGUAUAUUUGAAAGGGCAAAAUAGUAAUUAAUAGAUAACAGAGUUAAUUAACAGAUUUUAACUCUAGGGGUAUAUUAGUAAUAGGUUGGAACGUAGAAAUGGUAUUUUCAAUAUUAGCCUUCUAAGAGGGGUAAAUCGGAAAGUCGGAAACUUUUUAGGGGUAUAUAAGCAAUUGCCACUUUAUAAAAUGAUGAGAUGAAAUUAGUUUGUCAUAUGUAUAAUG
rnacentral:lncRNA from 1 species